AGUCUGACGAUGGCAGGAACCUCUGAGCCAGCCCAGGUGCCCCUCCUGUGCAUGAAAGAUGGCUUCGCAUCCCCGGCUCUCGGAAAGAUAAGUGCAGGGCAGGGCCCCAGAGAGGGGUUGGGAGUCGGGGCAAGUCUGUGCCUCGCCUGGAGGGAUUUUUGAAAUUAGUGCGGUGCAAGGGGUAUCCGGGAACAGGUUAUUUGGACGCAUCAAAGGAAGGGCUUACUUUUUCUCAUUGGAUUGACGUGUGCAGGGCAGAGCAGUUCGGGUCUGUGUCACGUCCUUUGUCUCGUCCGUGUUUUGUGUCACGUGGUGUGUGGGGUGUCUCACUUGGGGUCAGCCUGGAACUGCUGUGCCCUGCUACGUGGAUCAGUGGGUAGAUGGCACAUGGCUCCGGGUCUCAUGUCAACCUGUCAGUUCCCUUAGACAGUCGAGCCGAUGGCUGUGCAGUCGGUGAGCAGGAUGGUCUUGCGAUGCCCUGCUUGGGUGUAUAGAGUGCCGGCUAGGUAGAGUAGCAAAGAGUGUCUAGGGUUUAGAGGUUUUUGGCUUUCCUUGUGAGCAAUCCCUAAAUGUUUGAGAGCUGAGUGUUUGAGCAUUUCCCCAUUUCAUUUGCAGGGGCGGUCUUGGGAGCAGCUGAAGAGAGAGGAGCCUUCUAGGUAUCCCAGAAGAUGAGAGCCACAGUGUCCGACUCCGGUCAGAGCCAGCGCCCCGAGGACCUGCCUCGGUGACAGUGAGUAGAGGGAUCAUGGGGGCUGGGGCCACGUGCCACACUGCUCAGAUAUGGUGUCUGGUUUUCUUUCUCGCAGUUGACUCCUAGUAGUCUGACGAUGGCAGGAACCUCUGAGCCAGCCCAGGUGCCCCUCCUGUGCCUGCAAGAUGGCUUUGCAUCCCCGGCUGUCGGAAAGAUAAGU